GUGCCUAACACAUGCAAGUCGAACGAGAAAGUCCCGCAAGGGAUGAGUAAAGUGGCGCACGGGUGAGUAACACGUAGCUAACCUGCCUUUCAGUGGGGGAUAACCUGGGGAAACUCGGGCUAAUACCGCAUAACAUCCAGGUUGCAUAAGCAGCCGGGAGCAAAGGCCCGCAAGGGCCGCUGGAGGAGGGGGCUGCGGCCGAUUAGCUAGUUGGUGAGGUAAUGGCCCACCAAGGCGAUGAUCGGUAGCCGGCCUGAGAGGGCGCACGGCCACACUGGCACUGAAACACGGGCCAG
rnacentral:rRNA from 1 species